GAUGAACGCUAGCUACAGGCUUAACACAUGCAAGUCGAGGGGAAACGACAUCGAAAGCUUGCUUUUGAUGGGCGUCGACCGGCGCACGGGUGAGUAACGCGUAUCCAACCUGCCCAUCACUUGGGGAUAACCUUGCGAAAGUAAGACUAAUACCCAAUGAUAUCUCUAGAAGACAUCUGAAAGAGAUUAAAGAUUUAUCGGUGAUGGAUGGGGAUGCGUCUGAUUAGCUUGUUGGCGGGGUAACGGCCCACCAAGGCAACGAUCAGUAGGGGUUCUGAGAGGAAGGUCCCCCACAUUGGAACUGAGACACGGUCCACACUCCUACGGGAGGCAGCAGUGAGGAAUAUUGAUCAAUGGGCGAGAGCCUGAACCAGCCAAGUAGCGUGCAGGAAGACGGCCCUAUGGGUUGUAAACUGCUUUUAUAAGGGAAUAAAGUGAGAGUCGUGACUCUUUUUGUCUGUACCUUAUGAAUAAGGACCGGCUAAUUCCGUG
rnacentral:rRNA from 1 species